UCUUCUCUCCUGAAGGAUUUGAGAUUAAGGUUGGAAGAGGAUUUUUUCCUGUGACAGAGGAAAGAGUUUUUCUGGAUCUUUUUGGCUGGCAGUAUCAAUAAGAAGAUCUCUGGACCUACUUGGACAUCUACCAACUUAAGAUCCUGGCCCUGUUUGAUUUGGACUCCUGGUGUGAGACUUGAUUGGACUCCUGUUCUUUCUCUAGAUGUGGAUGACAUUUUCUCAUCUCUGGAUUGUCCUGGAUCAUUGCAUUGCUGCUAGUAGAAAGGGGCAUAUAUAUUCCACAAAUGGUUCCAUACCUGUCUAUAACGAAUUGGUGAUGUCCUGAAGAGAAGCAGAGGAGGGGAACAGAAGAGUCAGAGAAAGCUCAGCGCUUUACGUACUCAGCAUUUUAACCUAGUGAGCUGGAAUCACAAACCAUGAAUGACACUCGAAUGCCAGGAUCAGCAUCUUUUCUUUUAAAUGGAGAGUGGCUAGCAACACCACUUAGUGGUUAAAUACAGAUGAAAACACUGAUUCACGGUCAGGAGAAGUAGCAUGCUUAUGACCACAUAACUGGUAAACAUCUGAGCCCGGAUUCAAACCCAAAUCCCUUCAUACUACCUACUGCCAAUGACUCCAAAACUGAUCAGGGAAAGGACCUGUAAUGUCACCCUUCCCACCUGUAAAGAUUAAAAUUUAGGGGAGACUGAGGCAGGUAGGAAUUAGUUUCUCUCUGCAAGGAGUAUUAUAUUUUUAUGAAGUUUAUUAAAGAUCAAGGAUUUAAGAAUAUACAAGUAAGAAAAGGCACGUGCCAGGUGGGCCAUGAGACCCACCCAAAAUUUCACUCACAUCAUGAGAGGCGGAGACAGGAAGUAAAGAGACCCCGCUGUGGGCGGAGACCCUCUAAAUAACCAUUAUGCUCUGGACCCAUUUGAGAAUUCAGUGAGAUUAGAGGGCAUUCUGGGAGCUAGCAAGGACUCCUGGGGAAUGGAGUCCAGAGUUCAAAUCUCAAUUUUACACACCUUAGUCCUAUGGAGGACUUGUUAUGCAUUGCUGUCUGUGGAAACUUUUCUAGAAUUAGAACAGUCUCGAGUUUUAAGCAGAGUGGGUAUGAACUAAAAGGUCUUGUGCUGAGAAGAGAGACGAAUGACUCCAAGAAGAUUGGAACAGUUUCUCUUUCUCCAACAAGCAGGAUAGGAGAAAUCGAGUGGUAAGAUGGUAAAAAUGUUUUUUUGAAAAUUUAUUUUCAGUUUGGGAUCCUCUCUCUAGGCAAGCCAUUCCCCUCCCCACUGAGAAGCCAAGAAAGACAACUUGUAGGUAGAGGAAUCACAAAAUAGGCGUUUCCAUGUGGUGCCAGGCAAAUGUAAAACAGAAGAUUUUCUAUUUGAUCCUUGAGGUGCUAGGGAGCCUCUGGAGUUUACUCACUAAAAAGAGGACACAGCUAAACCUGUGCUUUAGGAAGAUAACUCUGAUAGUGGAAGAGAACAGUCAGAAAAAGGAGAGAACUGAGGAAAGGAGACUAACCAGAAGGCUAUUGCAAUGGUCUGGGCAUGAGGUGAUGAAAUCCUGCCCCAGAGCCUUGACUUUAUUAGAGGAGAGAAUAGUACAUACAGGAGAGACGGGGAGAAAGAAGGCAGAAACAAAAGGACUAGCCAACAGAUUGGAUAUGGGCAGCAGUGAGUGUGAAUGAGGAGUGGAAGAUGACAUCUAGGUUGGGAACCCUGGUCUUUAGGAGGAUAUGUGAUGCCUUUGACAGUAAAAUGGAGGUUAAGGAGGCAGGAUUUAGGUGAGGAAAAACACCGAGUUCUGGUUUGACAUUUUAAGUUUAAGGUAUCUAUGGGACGUCCAGUCAAAAUGUCUUAAUAGAUGGUUGGACAUGUGAGACUGGAGGUCAAGGAAGAGAUUAGGACUAAAAAGUGCUGAUAAUUACCUGCAUUGAGAUGAUAUUUAAAUACAUGGCAGUUGAUGGGAUUGCUAGGGGAAAUAACAUCGAGGAAAAAGAAAAGGGCGCCCAGGCCAGAGUCUUAGUCUUGGGUGGGGAAUGGAUACCUUUAGACUCCUGAAUGCCUGCACUGAAGAUUCAGCAAAGGAGUCUCAAAAGGAGUGGUCAGAGGAGAAUUAGGGGACAAAAAACUUGCCAAAGAGAGACUAAGAAGUCUGGUCAGAAGAGAACCGAGAAAAGAUCAUUCAAUUUGUAAUUAAGAGGUCAUUGGUAACUUUGGACAGAGGAGUUUCAGUUGAAUGCUGAGGCUGGAAGCCAGACUGCAGAAUUAAGAGCCUGAGAAAAAAGGGGAGGCAUUAAUUGCAGAUAGUUUUCUUAAGGUCUUGAGCCAUGAAAAGGAGGAGAAAUAAAGGAUUAUAGCUAGCAGGAGGGAUAUGAAGUGAGAAAAGGUUCAGGAUGGGGGAGACAUGGACUUGGAGGCAGAGUUUCUGUAAUUUGCUUGACCCUCCAACCAGGGCUUCUGGGUCUGAAUUCAGCUCCUUGGGAACUCCUGCCAGAUCAAUUUCAACACAUGUCCUGUGAAGGCGACAAGAGGAGGCCAUCCCCUCCCCUCCCUAGGAUGUCUCCCCCUGGGUUUGUAGAGCAGGGUGCACUCUUAGAAACUGGCAAGUUUUGGCUGCGUCUCCCCUCAGGGCCGCUAGCAGGUCGGGCUCAACAUUUUCAUCAGUAGAACCUCCAUCAAACUCCAAUCAGAACCAUGGUGGGACAGAGCGCUUCGAAGGGGCUAGUACAAAAGACCAUGCAUUGAAGGAAGGCAAUAAGGAAGCGUGCAUUAAUGGGUUAGAGUCAGGAAGACUUAGUCCCGGUUGUAAUGGGAAUGUUGGCUACUGCUCAGCAACUCCAGUCACCUCUCUAAACUUGACUAGCAGAUGGCAUCCUAUAUUGCUAUAGAGAGUUUCCUCACCAGGAGGAAGUUCCUUGUACCAGUGAGCACAGGCUCUCUACAACAGUUGGAAUAGGCUGAACUGGUAAGAAGGCUGGUGUCAGUCUUACUCCAAGCCCUUUGAUACCUCCACCUUUGGUGAUUCCCCCUCUCAUUGGGUGUGAUUUUUUUCUCCACUUCUUUGGCCCAUUCCUUUUGGAGAGAGACUUUGCCUUCAAAACAGGUCCAUAAAAAUGGCAGAAACCUUACUUUUAAUGCCAGCCUAACCAGUUCUUGCCUUAUUUGUCCACAGAAACCCUGGAGAACUUGGCCCAAGAAAGUUGUGAAGAAAGAAUCAAUAGCUUUCCUUCCCUUAGCACAAAUUUGAACUCUUCAGGAAUUUGUGUUAUUUCUGCAGAGGGGUCAUGCUCAUCUUUAUAUCUUUCCAAUUUCAGUAUAUGUAAUGCCAAAGCUAGCGCUCAAUAACUUGCUUUUUUUAGCUCGGAUACCCCAUAUGAAGACCACAUUCUGGCAAAAUUAUGUGGUUUUAAAACUUUGUCUCUCCCCUUCUUGCCAAAGCCUCUCAAUGGCACUGUAACAGUAACACACACACAGAUUAUCAAUGUGAGUAGUUGACAGCUUUAUCAGGGUUGCCUUCUUAAGAGGCAAAGCAAACAUUUAUGCAAGAGUAAACUGGAAUUCAGAAAAAUAAGGAUGAACCUGCUAAGGUGGUCCUGGGAUAGGCCCCAGUUGAAUCAGGAGGAGGGCAGCAGACUUAGGUUGGAGUGCUCCCAUUCAGUGUCCUACUCCAGAUCGCCCAUCCCUUCUUUUGGGUCUCCUUUUCAAGAGGGCCAUGAACAAAUUCUUUUAAUCUUUUUGGUUUUUUUUACUCAUCUUUUGGCCCUCACUUGAAACUGGCUCCUUCCUAGUUUCAUUAAUUUCUUUAAUUUUUUUUUUAAACACUUACCUUCUGUCUUGGAGCCAAUACUGUGUAUUGGCUCCAAGGCAGAAGAGUGGUAAGGGCUAGGCAAUGGGGGUCAAGUGACUUGCCCAAGGUCACACAUCUGAGAAGUGUCUGAGGCCAGAUUUGAACCUAGGACCUCCUGUCUCUAGGCCUGGUUCUCAAUCCACUGAGCUACCCAGCUGCCCCCUCAUUAGUUUCUUUAGCAUCUUUCUCACUACUGGUUAUUUUUUCUUUCAUUCCAUACCACACCAACUCCCUUGUUGCAAUGGGAGUUGUCACAAUAUUCCUUUCUUCCCAGUGCCAUCUUCAGACUCUUCAUCUGUCAUCUUUACUAAGCAAACUCUUUUGAGGUUCAUGCUCUCCAAAUUUUUCACUUAAUCAAAAUCCUGGUGACUUUUAUCUAUUAACCCCCAAUACAAUCUCAUUUCGUCCUAAGAAAUACAGUGCCUGAUUCACAGUCUUUCUCCCCGCCCCCCAUCUUUUAUGCUUAUGUCAGAGGACUUCAAGAUUAAUAUUGAUGGGACCUCAAAUACUUUAACUUCAGAGGUUGUCAGUCUACUCAGUUUCCAUGACAUAUUUCAUUCUAUCUCAGAGACACACACAAAGACAGUUAAAUUCUUAAUCUCAAUGUCACCACAAGUACUUUACUUUCUUUUGAAUGAGCUCAGAAUUUUUUAUUGGAACAUAUUCUUUUAUCAAGUCAUCUUUUCUUCUGUCUUAUAAGGCCUAACCCACUUCUUUGUCUUCGCUGUGACUUUCGUUUCCUUUGCCCCUCUGUUCUUUUUCUGGUCGUCAUCCUUGAACUGGUUGUACUCUCCUCUGUUCUCUAGCUCAACUUCCCAGUUCACUAAAUCAGCUCCACACUAGCCUCUGCUCCAGAAUUCCUUGCCCCACCUCUGUCAGGCUUUGACAAGCUCUGACCCUAGUCAGAAGGCUAUUUACUAGUCCUCCUCCAUGUGCUAUUGAAUGGAGUGGUAGGAAGUGACAAAACCAUGUUGAUUGGAUCAAUUACAAAUAUAAAUGAUCUAAUCUCACUAGCCCUCACCUUAGUAAAGCAAAGACUGUAUUUCUCUUUAACCAAUCAACUUGUCAGAGUGGCUAUUCCAAACCCUCUCAUUUUUCAUUGUCUCCCACAGUAUCCCAAGCUCACUCUUUUAACCAAAGAUCCUGACUCAUACAUCAAAGAAAAAAUGUAGGCCAUUCACUGAAGACUCUCCCUUUUCCCCUUCUCUUCAUUUCACACCAGACAUCUUUCCCCAUUAUCUCUGUGUAAUUGUUUUCCAGUUAACAAACAUUUACUUUCUCUACCUUCUGUCUCCUGUCCCGAUUAAAAGAAGAAAAUCUUUGUGAAAAAUACUCACAGUUGAGCAAAAGUAGUUUCUGCAUUGGGUACACCCCCCAAAUAUGCCCCGAUCUCCACCCUGAGACCAUAACUUCUCUGUGAUAAGAAUAUCACUUCCAUAUAAAUGUCUUUUGGAUUCAUGGUUGAUUAUUGAGUUACUUUGGAUUCCAAAGUCUUUCCAAGUUGUUUGUCUUUACAGAAUUGUUGCUAUUGUGCAUGUUGUUUCUUGGUUCUGUUCAUUCCACUCAUUUCCCCAUUAUCCCUUUUGUCAUUUUUUGAAUAAUAUGCUAGUAUUACAUUGCAUGAAUAAAUGAUAAUUUGUUCAGCCACUCCUCAGGUGAGAGCUUUCCCCUGUUGUUACCAGUUCUUUUCCAUCACAGAAGCAGCUGCUAUAAAUUUUUCAUGUGUUUUUUUCCCUCUUGUUUUGAUCUCUUUGGGUUGUAGGCCUAGUGGUAGUAUCACUGGGUUAAAUGGUAUGCCCAAUUUAGUAUCUGUUUGAGCCUAGUUCCAUAUUGCUUUACAAAAGCCUAAACUAAUUUAUAGCUCCACCAACAAUGUAUGUGCUCAUUUUCCCACAGCCCUUUCAACAUUUGUUGUCAUUUGAAAUGUCCUUUUUUGGUCACUUUUGUCCAUCUGAUGUGUAUGGGGUCCAACCAUGGAGUUUUUCCUUCUUUUUUAACCCUUACCUUCUUAGUAUCAAUUCUAAUACAGGAGUGAUAAGGACUAGGCAUGGUCCCAUUGAUAGGAAUUGUCUAAGGCCAGAUUUGAACCCAGAUGCUUCUGUAGUCAGAUUCAGUAUAGCUGCACUUGGUAGUUGACUUUAGAUAAUAGCAAACAGAAUGGGUAGAGGGUCAUAUAACAUAUUGAACCAGAUAUUUUUCCUUCUUUGUCUUUAAAGGAAAGAGACAUCAGGAAAAAACUGUCCAAUAUAUAACACAAGAGACAUCUAUAAGCAUGCCAAUGGAUGGGCUGAGCAAGGAAGGGAUCAUUUUUAUUUUCUAGAGUUCCCACCAUCUUCAAUCAGGGACAGAGAGAAUGAAGAAAGAACUCACAAAUAUAAGGCUUAUGAAUGGAACAUUACAUUCUAGAGUAAGGGAAAAGGAAUAAGAAAGAGAAGGAAUUAAAUGGACUUGUUAUUUUUUGAAAGGAGAGACAAAAAGUGAACAUUAUUUGAACUUGGAGAGUAAAUGAACGAGGAGUGGCAAUGUGUAAAGAAGAUUCUUAGUAUAAUAUAAAGGCAAGACAGCCCCUCAAACCAAAACAAAGUCCAAUAACAACAAAAUUGUCUCUAUUCCCUUAAUUCUGACCUCAAGGAUGGCGAGGGAUGGUCAGCAACAGAAAUGAUGCCUGAGCUCUUUUCUGUAGAGAGCGUUUCUUUGGACUGAAUUGAAAGGCUAGGGAAGUACAGUUUUUGCCCUUAGCAGCAUUCAUUAAGGGCAUUCCAUAUGCCAAAUUUGGUCUAACUGCUGGAGAUAGAAAGGGAAAAUGAAAAAAAAAAGGCUUUGCUUCUAGGAAGCUACAUUCUGUUACCACACAUGCACGUACAUACACGCACGCACACAUAUGCCACUCUUGUGUUCAGUGCCGGUGUCCUACUUUGCUGCAAUGUUGUCUGAAGAGAUCUUGGUUCGAUUAUUUGGACUGUACAGUUGGCAUAAAAGUGGAGGACCUCUCCCUUCUCAUCCCUCCCUUGAGAAGUCUAUGAAGUAAUGAAUCCACUAGGUAUCAGCAAUGGAAGGACAGAAAACCCCUGAGCCUUGCUUACAAAAUCAGAAAUCGAUCAGAUUUCCCUUCCAAGUUGCCAGUGAUUCAUUUUAUGAAGUGGAAUUUUUGGAAUUCUGUGUUCAUCUUUAAGCACAGCUAGUAACAUUCUGGAUAACAAGAUAACAAGGGAGAGUGUGUUGUGCUAGAACACUGAACUAUGGGUCAGGAGAUCUGGAUACUAUUGAUCUCUAACUUCCUGUGUGACCAUGACCAAAUCUAUGGUCAAGAGUGCUGUAUUCCAAGUUAGAAAAACAGAAUUUGGAUCCUGGUCUGCUACUUAUUAUGCGACCUUGAGUAAGUGACUUCAUUUCAUUGGCCCCCAGUUUCAUCAUCUGUAAAAUGAGAUGACUGGGCUAUGUGACUUCUAGGUAACCCAUCUGGCUCCAACUGUGAAAUCACCUCAAUUUUCUGAAUCUCAGUUUCUUUGGGAAAUGAGGGGGUAUCAAAAUGCCUUGCAAAUUUGAAAGCAAUAUAUAAAUGUUAGCUAUUAUUUGUAUUGGAUGAGAUGGUCUCCGAGGUCCUUUCCAGCUUCAUAAAUCCUGUUUUUCUUUCGCUAGCACAUAUUCUAGCUAUUUGACAGGGUGGCUGUCUUAGUCCGAGCAAGGGGAAUAUGGAAAAAGAGCCUCUCAUAUUUAAACACUUGAGGUGUGCAAAUGAGGGGCAGGGGAUUAAUAUGAGGUUUCUCCCCACAUUCCCUGUUGUGAACCUUUAGUGUGUAAAUCACUUCUGAUUGAUUUAUGGUGCCCCACUUUCCCUGCAACAGAAGGAAGUCUCUUCCUGCUCUCAAAACUGAGUAUGUGUCUCUGGGCACCUGGAAUGGCCCAGAUGCUAUUCAUCCCUGACAGUGGGAGGAAAUGUUUGCUAAAAAGUUCUUACUCUCUCAUCAGUGAGGCCCAACCCGUAUUCAGAAAUAGCCAACUCCAGAACAGCAGUUCCUAAGUAGAAUGAAAGAGAAGUCCCGUUGGCUCAAUUAUUACUCAAAAAUAGCCAAGAAAUUAGCAGUGUAGACUUUCUUGGGUCAUUUGAUGAGGCUUUUCCCCUCCCUGUUAGGGAUUUUGCUUCUUAAAAUGGUCUUUGGGUUUGAGUUCUACAUCUACUAUUUACUACUACCUUCAUGUGUCAGGACCUAAUCUAUAAAAUGCUAUCCCUUCUAGUCCUGAACCAGUGAUCCUUAUGUUAAGGCAAGGGAUCUAUCUGUCCCUUCCCCCAUUCCACUCCAAUUCAAUCAAUGACAGGCUUUUAAAAUGUGUAAACUAGAUUGUCUACAUGCACCAGUCUCUUUUACAAGGUCCUCUUUAAUUGGAUCAUGAAGGGAAUUGUGGUUGGGGUAAACUAAAUAAAGAAGCUAUUAAAUAGUGGGGGAAAACUUCAUUAGUAGUUUCCAAGUGGCAGCCCAGUAAGGAGAACUCCAGGUUUAAAGGGGAUCAUUUUGGGGAGAUGUUUGGGUAUGUUUCUCUCCCAUCUCUCCUUUUCCUAACCCCUUUUAUUUACCAUGUAUUGUAGAGACUGGGCCACUAGCAGACAUGUUUGAGAUUAAGGACAGACAUGAACAGAUAUACAAAGAAAGUCACCCAAUGGAGAGGGAAGCUUUAAGGAGCGUGCCCCAUUGGGGGAGAGGAAAGUGCCAGCUUUGUACUCUCUAGGGCCCAACAGAGGGCAUAUCUAAUGGGAAUGUUGUGAGGAUAUUAUAGAGGGAGUAAAGGACUUCAAGGAACCAGAAGGUGGGAGUUACCUCUUUGUCACAGGUUUCCUUCUGAUAUGUCUAUCUACUAAGUUUGAGUCCAGUCUCCACCAGGACCAUAUUUCUAUACAAUGAAAAAUACAUUCCUAAUUUGGGGAAAACAAUUUUUAAAAAAUUACUGCUCUUAUUCUUUCACAGGUAGGUAGGGAGUGCAGUGGAUAGAAUACCAGGUCUGGAGUCAGAGAGAAUCAUUUUCCUGAGUUCAAAUCUGGCCUUAGACACUAAUCAACUGUGUGACCCUGCUCAAGUCCCUUAACCCUGUUCAUCUCAGUUUUCUCCUCUGUAAAUGAGUUGGAGAAGGAAAUGGCAAAACAUUCUAGUACCUUUGCCAAGAAAACUUCAAAUGGGGCUACAAAGAUUUCCAGACAUGACAGAAAUGACUAAAUUAACUCUGCUUUCUCAUUAAAUUCUUUUUUUCCCUCUAAAAGCUAAUUAAGUCUGAUUGUCAAUGGCUACCACAAAUAGGGCUUUAAGAGUGACAAUUUUAGAGCCUCAGCAUCCUAAGAGUUAUUCCUUGAACUCUGAGAAUAUUAAAUAGUAGCUACCCUUUGGAGGAUCUAACUUGCCAGUCCCAAGUUUGGAAGAUUGGGUGGAUGGCUGGUGGUGGUAGAGAGUUUGUGAUUUACACUGCUACUCUUGGGUUUUGGGAAGGGGGUAAUUCUCAGAUUACCACUUGAUUGAAUUACUACUAAAAUUUCUUCCCACUAUUUAAAGUACCCAGCUUUGUGGUUCUUUAUUUGGCUACUCAAUCAUGCUGGUUCCUCUUGACCCAAUUAGAGUUCACACAUGAUAAAAGGUCACAGGAUGUUACAUCUUUAAAAAACCUAAUCAUGCCUGAUGAUUGUUAGUUAUCACUUAUAGUUAUAAUAGUUAUAAUAAUAACAAUAUUAGUUGCUUAAGGAAUCAAGCCAAUUUUUAAAACAAUUCAGAUUUUUUUUAGGGGUGGCUUUACAGCUCUGUGGUAGGGGAUGACACUGAAAGAUUGAAAGACACAGAAGAAGCUGGCCAACAUUGUGGAGAUUAGAAAAUAGAAAUGGGGCAGGAGGACUGCAGAAACUUUAUUACUCAGCGACUUUGCCUGGAGAAUCACUUUUGGGACAGACUUGGGUUGGUAUUGUUGAUCCCUGGAUUAAUGUGCAUCUCAGUUCUUUUCAUUUUGAGUAAAAACAUUUUCCUUUAACAGACUGAACUGAUGCUUGUAGUUUUGCUGCUUUGCUCUCUCCAGCAGUCCAAUGCCCUGGUGCUGAAUGAGCCCCUUUUGUGCUUGUUCCUUGUGCCCAUAGCUAAAAGACUGGGGAGUAGUUGUUUGAGUGUGUAUGAGUAUUGUUCCUGCCCACUGGGCUCCUGAUGGGUCACUGCUCAACUACUCUGUCAUCUAUUUUUUAGCCCAGGAGACCUAAGCCACCAAACCAUAUACUUUCAAACCAAUAUUAAUACUUAAUGACACUCAGCAUGUAUUAACUUAUAUAUCUUUCACUAUCAGUCAAAUUUAUGAUCAUUUGGAUACUUACAAGAUUUAAAAGAAAAAGCAGUGCCUAAUUACCAUGAAAGUUCUAUCACACUCUGGUUACUGCUGGUCCAAAUCUCUGCCAUACGGCCCAGUAGAAUAGCUCAUAUUUCCGCAAAUUACUAAACUUUAUUAGAACUUUGGCUUGUGUUUUAGGUACUCUGGACCUUGCGUGGAAGGGGGUA